UCUGAUCAUCCUUACUGGAAGGACCCCCUCUCUAAGAUAAGGAAGGACUUUUUAUAUUAUAUUUAUCAUGGGUUUUUUAUGUUUUCUCUCCUCAGCGGGAGGCACGGCCCGGGAUGGAGCUGCAGAGGGCAGUGUGGGAGAGGGAAAGCCCGGCCAAGAUGGCGGCGGGGCCGGCGCGCUCGGGCGCUAGAGGGAGAUGGCGGGCUGCGGCUCGAGCGGCUCUCACAAAGCCAAAAAUACGACUUUUGGGGGCUGUUUGGGUUUUUAAACCCCCAAUGGACCCUCCCUGCCCGCAGCUCUUGUGCCGGGCUGCAGAGAGGCGGCAGCCGGCGCCCCUCGGGCGGCCGCGCCUCGAGCUCUGCACAGAUCUCAGCAGCUCCCGCUUCUUAUUUUAGAGCUGUGAGGGGCUGGGGGAAGAGUCUGGUCGGGAGUUAUUUUGAUAAAGGCAUCUUGAGAAACAUCUUGAGGAACGCAGCAAGUUAGAAGUAAAGGCUGAGGGAAAAAAACCCAUACUGUCUGUGGUUGACUUCAGGAUGUUCAGAUGGAUUAUCUGGAAGGCAAAUACAGAGUUAGCACCUCUGAAAUAUCUGGUAACUGAAGACCUGCUGAAGGUAAUAAACUCUCUCACUGCUGAGCAUCAGAGGAAUCCCAGGAGUUCCUGAAUUUCUCACAGG